UCCCAAUUGGUGUAGUGGCUAACAUUCAGGAUUCUCAUUCCUGAGCCCAGGGUUCGAUUCCCUGAUUGGGAG
rnacentral:tRNA from 1 species